rnacentral:rRNA from 1 species
UAGGGAAUUUUCGUCAAUGGGCGCAAGCCUGAACGAGCAAUGCCGCGUGAGUGAUGACGGCCUUCGGGUUGUAAAGCUCUGUUAUAAGGGAAGAAUAUGCACUAUAGGAAAUGAUAGUGUAGUGACGGUACCUUAUCAGAAAGCCACGGCUAACUACGUGCCAGCAGCCGCGGUAAUACGUAGGUGGCAAGCGUUAUCCGGAAUUAUUGGGCGUAAAGGGUGCGUAGGCGGCGAAAUAAGUCUGAGGUAAAAGCCCGUAGCUUAACUACGGUAAGCCUUGGAAACUGUUUUGCUAGAGUGCAGUAGAGGACAAUGGAAUUCCAUGUGUAGCGGUAAAAUGCGUAGAUAUAUGGAGGAACACCAGUGGCGAAAGCGGUUGUCUGGGCUGUAACUGACGCUA